rnacentral:rRNA from 1 species
UGGAUCCAGACUUUGAUUAUGGCUCAGGACGAACGCUGGCGGCGUGCCUAACACAUGCAAGUCGAGCGGGGAACCGUGGAAUGAAGCUUCGGCAGAAGGAAGCGGUUUCUAGCGGCGGACGGGUGAGUAACGCGUGAGCAAUCUGCCUUUCACAGGGGGAUAACACACCGAAAGGUGUACUAAUACCGCAUGAGACCACAGGAAGGACAUCUUCCAGGGGUCAAAGGAGCAAUCCGGUGAAAGAUGAGCUCGCGUCUGAUUAGCUGGUUGGUGAGGUAACGGCCCACCAAGGCGACGAUCAGUAGCCGACCUGAGAGGGUGAUCGGCCACAUUGGAACUGAGAAACGGUCCAAACUCCUACGGGAGGCAGCAGUGGGGAAUAUUGGGCAAUGGGGGAAACCCUGACCCAGCAACGCCGCGUGAAGGAAGAAGGUUUUCGGAUCGUAAACUUCUAUCCUUGGUGAAAAUCGUGAUGGUAGCCAAGAAGGAAGCCCCGGCUAACUACGUGCCAGCAGCCGCGGUAAUACGUAGGGGGCAAGCGUUGUCCGGAAUGAUUGGGCGUAAAGGGCGCGUAGGCGGCCCUUUAAGUCUGAAGUGAAAGUCCUGCUUUUAAGGUGGGAACUGCUUUGGAUACUGGAAGGCUUGAGUGCAGGAGAGGUAAGCGGAAUUCCCGGCGUAGCGGUGAAAUGCGUAGAGAUCGGGAGGAACACCAGUGGCGAAGGCGGCUUACUGGACUGUUACUGACGCUGAGGCGCGAAAGUGUGGGGAGCAAACAGGAUUAGAUACCCUGGUAGUCCACACUGUAAACGAUGAAUGCUAGGUGUAGGGGGUAUCGACCCCUUCUGUGCCGGAGUCAACACAAUAAGCAUUCCGCCUGGGGAGUACGGCCGCAAGGUUGCAAC